rnacentral:rRNA from 1 species
GACGAACGCUGGCGGCGUGCUUAACACAUGCAAGUCGAACGAAGUGGCGAACGGGUGAGUAACGCGUAAUCAACCUGCCCUUGAGAGGGGGACAACAGUUGGAAACGACUGCUAUACCCGCUUACUGAAGGAGGGGAUUGCGUCUGAUUAGCUAGUUGGAGGGGUAACGGCCCACCAAGGCGAGGAUAAGUAGCCGGUCUGAGAGGAUGAACGGCCACAUUGGGACUGAGACACGGCCCAGACUCCUACGGGAGGCAACAGGGGGGAAUAUUCCGCAAUGGACGAAAGUCUGACUGAGCAAAGCCGCGUGAGAGAUGACGGCCUUCGGGUUGUAAAGCUCUGUUAAUCGGGACGCGGUACCGGAAUAGAAAGCCACGGCUAACUACGUGCCAGCAGCCGCGGUAAUAC